GUACACGCUGUGACUAGCAUAUCAAUAAGCGGAGGAAAAGAAACUAACAAGGAUUCCCCUAGUAACGGCGAGUGAAGCGGGAAGAGCUCAAAUUUGAAAUCUUAAAGGGUUUCCCUUUACGAAUUGUAGUUUAAAGAAGUGUUUUCUGUUGAGGUUUUGGUAAAAGUUCUUUGGAAUAGGACAUCAUAGAGGGUGAGAAUCCCGUAUUUGACCUUUACUUUCAACUUUGUGAUACACUUUCAAAGAGUCGGAUUAGUUUGGGAAUGCAGUCCAAAAUGGGUGGUAAAUUUCAUCUAAAGCUAAAUAUUGGCGAGAGACCGAUAGCGAACAAGUACCGUGAGGGAAAGAUGAAAAGAACUUUGAAAAGAGAGUCAAACAGUACGUGAAAUUGUCAAAAGGGAAGCGUUUGACACCAGUGUUGUUUUUCUGAAAAUCAAUUAAAGAACUGUUUAUGCUAAGCUGUUUAGACUUUAUCAGCUAAUCUGUUUAGUUUUGAGCUUUUCUUUAAUGCACUUUUCAGUUAACAAGUCAACAUCAAUUUCUUUUGCUGUAAAAAAGCUUGAGGAAGGUGGCUUGAGAUUCGUCUUAAGUGUUUAUAGCCUCUUGCCUAUGCAGUCGGAGAGAUUGAGGUCUGCAGCGUAGAUCCAUUCGGGGCUAAAUGCAUUUGUGCUAAGUUAUAGCAUUUCAUAGACAACUUGUUGACUAUGAUUUGUCUUGUAGCUUACUCGCUUAUGUUAUUUUACCUACGCUUAGGAUGUUGAGUCGUAGAGCACGCAG
rnacentral:rRNA from 1 species